rnacentral:rRNA from 1 species
UACAGAGGUCCCAAGCGUUGUUCGGAUUCACUGGGCGUAAAGGGUGCGCAGGUGGUCGGGUAAGUCUGAUGUGAAAUCCCGCAGCUUAACUGCGGAAUGGCAUUGGAUACUAUUCGGCUAGAGGGUUGGAGGGGGGACUGGAAUUCUCGGUGUAGCAGUGAAAUGCGUAGAUAUGCGGAGGAACACCGAUGGCGAAGGCAAUCCCCUGGGCCUGCACUGACGCUCAUGCACGAAAGCGUGGGGAGCAAACAGG